UGGGGACUAAUCUCCAAGAAGGUCAGUGAGGCUCUGGUACUGCCUUGGCCGGAUGGGGAUUAGCACCUGGGUGUGAGCCUCCCCCCUGCCAGCCAGUGCCUCCACUCCCAGGUCCCUCCACUGUCACACAGACCCUGGGCGGCCUCUAAGCCCAGAAAUUCCAAGAUAAGGGUAUCACCCUCCCCCCACCUCCAAACCUGUCUGCCACCUAGAAAUCACCUCUUUAUCCUUUGCUGGGGCUAAUUCCCACCCUAGUUUGGGGUGGGAUGGGGCUGUUUUGCAGCUUCCCCCUUUCUCCAUACACACGAUGCCUCCCGCCUCUGGUCCCCUGAGCCCUAGCCCCAUGAAUCCACAUCCCCAAUCUCUCUCAGCGUACAUCUCUUGUUAUCUUGAAUUGUCUCCAUGUGUCUCUCUCUGUUCCUCUUCCCUGGUUUCUCUCUGGUCAUCUCUGCCUCUGGUCUCGCUCUCACAGUCUAGGGUCUGCAGCCUCUGCAGCCCCUGGGAUCUCCCCUGUGUUCUCACACCCCUCUUUCCUUCAGCCUAUGCUCUUGGUCUCUUUCUCAUCCUUCUCCAUUUCUCUUCUGCUGUUUCUCAGCUGCUGCACUCCAACCGCUCAAUCCCUUUUCCACUUCCCCCACUACCUGGUCCCUCCCCCACCCAGGGUGCUGACAGGGACGACAGGAAGCAGGCUCCAGCUUUGAGCAGGAGGGGGAGGGGGCCUGCCUCGUACAGCAGCUGCUGAGUGCCCCCCUCCCCAUGCAGCCCCGCACCUGCAGGCCUGCCCGGCACUGGGAGACCCCGCCCUGUGGCAGCGGAGCAGCGGAGGAGGGACCUGGAUGAGAGGCCAGAUCCCUGGUAAUGGCCAGCAACUGCAGUCUUAGGAUGGAUAGUGGGUGGGGGACUGGGGAAAUUAGGCCCUGGGGUGAAGGGGCAGUAAUUCUCAGUCACCAGGAAAGAUCCCCGCCCACUGGGUGGCUGCCUCCUUCUCACCACCCUCCCCUCAAGGCUGUGUGUGUGUGUGUGUGUGUGUGUGUGUGUGUGUUUGGGAGGGGGUCAUUCCAAGCAGAGAUCUCUUUGUUGUGCAAACCCAGGAUGUGGAAUCCUGGCCCCUGACAUGGUUGGGGAGGGAAGGGGAAGCCCUCAAAGACACAGGGAAGGUGCACCAGGACCAUGCCAGGCCCCUGACAGGCAAAUCUUUCAGUGCCAGGCAGAGUAAAGGGCUGGCCCAGGACAGAGCCUGGUCAGGGGGGCCAGGAGAGGGCUGCACACACCCUAGCCCAGGACCCAAGGACCUUCCCCUGCCCCUGGGGCUGCUCCACGAAGAGCCCUGCUGUAGUCCACCCUCUCCCUAAACCUGCCUGGGAUCUGUCCAACGCCAUCUCGCCCCUCCCCCUUCUCUCUCUGUGCCACGGACUCGGGCUCAGCAGAUCCUUUGGGGCCUCUGGGUAGUUGGGUGACAUAGGGGCACUAGAGCGGGUGGUGGUGGAGGGGACAAUCCAGCACCUCUAGGAACAUGCAGUUUGGAGGGACUUCUGACCCUGGUUCCCAUCUCCCGGGGCUGCCUCUGCCUGAGCUGAGGGCCACCUACCUACCCCACCCCAGCUGAUGGAAGCGAGGAUGUGGGAUUCUGAGGUUUGAGGAAGGUGGUGAACCGCUGUGCCUGGGGGCUUGUCCUUUUCAGUCAGUCUGACUGUCUCAGACGUUUUUAGACUGAAAGAGGGACCAAGGGAGUGUCAGGGAGUGACAUCUCAGGAUGUCAGCAGCACCACAGAGAUCCGAGGAGUGGAUUUGAGGCUCCAUGGUGGCCCUCAGCUUCCCCCGCCCAGAUUUUCCACACCUCAGCCUUGGCUCCAACUCCGUGAGGGCCU
rnacentral:lncRNA from 1 species